AUGGAGCCGGUGGAGUCGGCCAAGUGCGAGUGCUGCGAGCUGCGGGAGGACUGCACGCGGGGGUACAUCGUGGGCGUGAAGGCGGACUUCGGCGGGCGGUGGCUGUGCGGGCUCUGCUCCGAGGCGGUGAGGGAGGAGGGCAGGAAGCACGGGAUGGAGGCGGCGCUGCAGGACCACAUGGCCUUCUGCGCCGGCUGGUGCCGCGGCAAGGGCCCCGCGCUCCGGGUCGCCGACGGCAUGCGCCAGAUGCUGCUCCGCCGCCGCCGCCCCAUCUCCAUCUCCAAGUGA
rnacentral:rRNA from 1 species